rnacentral:lncRNA from 10 species
AAAAGAUCUGUGUUUCGUCAUCUGGAACCCAGGGAGAGGGUGAGGCACGUGGAGUUCCUUGACCCCUCAUCUUGCUGAAGCAGCAAGCAUGGCUAUUUAGAGCCUGUCUGCUUUGCACAUCCCAUGAGAGUGCAGUCAACAUCUGCUAGCCAUAGAUAAGACAAACUCUGUGGUUAUAAAAGACCCAAACUUCUGCUGUUCUAAGAGCUCCAUGACCCGGAGACGCCCCACCUCACUGCUGAGCAACAUCUUCCCUGCCCAAGUGCCACUCAAUAAAGCUUGUUGUACAAUACUGUCAUCUCCUAGUCCUGUCUUUUCUUCAAUCAGCUCCAAAAUUCUUGAAACUUCCGGUGACCAAUAAAUAUGAGGGAAUUGGUACAGGACCUGGAUAUUUAAAAUUUGCAAACUUUGCAAUUUAUCUGCAGGCAAAAAGAAUUAAAUGAAAUAAUAAUUUCCAUAAUACUGCUUCAGCUGGUUUGAAU